GGUGUCAGUGUGUGCUAAGGUGUGCAGUGUGCCCUAAGGUGUGGCAGUGUGCCCUAAGGUGUGGCAGUGUUGCCCUAAGGUGUGGCAGUGUUGCCCUAAGGUGCGGCAGUGUGCGCUAAGGUGCGGCAGUGUGCCCUAAGGUGCGGCAGUGUGCCCUAAGGUGUGGCAGUGUGCCCUAAGGUGCGGCAGCGUGCCCUAAGGUGCGGCAGCAUGCGGCAGGGUGCCCUAAGGUGCGGCAGUGUGCCCUAAGGUGCGGCAGUGUGCGCUAAGGUGCGGCAGUGUGCGCUAAGGUGCGGCAGUGUGCGCUAAGGUGCGGCAGCGUGCCCUAAGGUGCGGCAGCGUGCCCUAAGGUGCGGCAGCGUGCCCUAAGGUGCGGCAGCGUGCCCUAAGGUGCGGCAGCGUGCCCUAAGGUGCGGCAGCGUGCCCUAAGGUGCGGCAGCGUGCCCUAAGGUGCGGCAGCGUGCCCUAAGGUGCGGCAGCGUGCCCUAAGGUGCGGCAGGGUGCCCUAAGGUGCGGCAGGGUGCCCUAAGGUGCGGCAGCGUGCCCUAAGGUGCGGCAGCGUGCCCUAAGGUGUGGCAGCGUGCCCUAAGGUGUGGCAGCGUGCCCUAAGUGCAGCAGGUAAAGGUUGCAUGUGCAUAUGUCCACACUGUUCGUAGUGAAAAACUAGUAACAGCCUGUGGGGUCGGAACUAGAAAGA